UGGCGAGCGGCGGACGGGUGAGUAAUGCCUAGGAAUCUGCCUGAUAGUGGGGGAUAACGACCGGAAACGGUCGCUAAUACCGCGUACGUCCUACGGGAGAAAGUGGGGGACCUUCGGGCCUCACGCUAUCAGAUGAGCCUAGGUCGGAUUAGCUAGUUGGUGGGGUAAUGGCUCACCAAGGCGACGAUCCGUAACUGGUCUGAGAGGAUGAUCAGUCACACUGGAACUGAGACACGGUCCAG
rnacentral:rRNA from 1 species